AACUCAUUGGCGCCAAGAUGGCGAUGGAGAUGAGGCUUCCAGUGGCUCGCAAGCCUCUUAGCGAGAGACUGGGCCGCGACACUAAGAAACAUCUAGUGGUGCCGGGGGAUACAAUCACUACGGACACAGGAUUCAUGCGGGGCCAUGGAACGUAUAUGGGAGAAGAGAAGCUCAUUGCAUCUGUUGCUGGCUCUGUGGAGAGAGUAAACAAGUUGAUCUGUGUGAAAGCUUUGAAAACCAGGUGAGAACAAAAGAUACAUUGGUGAAGUAGGAGACAUCGUAGUGGGACGAAUCACAGAGGUAACGUCGAUAUCAGAUUGGUGUUUACAAAGUCGAGGCAGGCUGGCGAUUUCAUUCAUGGGACAGUCAUUCCACUUGUAGUUACAUGAAAAAGGCAUUCAUUGCAUUUGGCCAUUGUGUGGCUUCUGAUGUAAAUAUGUGGCUUGUUCGAUUUCAGAUUACUGGUUAAUUUUUUUUUUUUUGAGAUGGAGUCUCGCUCUGUCCCCCAGGCUGGAGUGCAGCGGCACGAUCUUGGCUCACUGCAACCUCCACCUCCCGGGUUCAAGCGAUUCUCCUGCCUCAGCCUACCAAGUAGCUGGGAUUACAGGCACCUGCCACCACGCCCGGCUAAUUUUUGUAUUUUUAGUAGAGACGGGGUUUCAUUAUAUUGGUCAGGCUGGUCUCAAACUCCUGACCUCAAGUGAUCCACCAGCUUCGGCCUCCCAAAGUGCUGGGAUUACAGGCGUGAGCCACCAUGUCUGGCCUUACUGGUUAUUUAUGAUAUGACACAUCAACAUGGAGCAUGUGUCCAGGUGUGGAACUUGGCUUAUAGGUUCAACAGAAGAGGUGGAAGGUGGAGACCAACUCCAGGCUGGAUUCGGUCUUGCUGCUCUCGUCCAUGAACCUUCCUGGAGGAGAGCUGAGGAGAAGAUCUGCAGAAGAUGAGCUUGCAAUGAGAGGUUUCUUACAGGAAGGGGACCUUAUCAGUGCUGAGGUCCAGGCAGUGUUCUCUGACGGAGCUGUCUCUUUGCACACGAGGAGCCUGAAAUAUGGAAAACUAGGUCAGGGGGUUUUGGUCCAGGUUUCCCCCUCCCUGGUGAAACGGCAGAAGACCCACUUUCAUGAUUUGCCAUGUGGUGCCUCAGUGAUUCUCGGUAACAACGGCUUCAUCUGGAUUUACCCAACACCUGAGCACAAAGAAGAGGAAGCAGGGGGCUUCAUUGCAAACCUGGAGCCUGUCUCUCUUGCUGAUCGAGAGGUGAUAUCCCGGCUUCGGAACUGCAUCAUCUCUCUGGUAACUCAGAGGAUGAUGCUGUAUGAUACCAGCAUCCUGUACUGCUAUGAAGCAUCCCUUCCACAUCAGAUCAAAGACAUCUUAAAGCCAGAAAUAAUGGAGGAGAUUGUGAUGGAAACACGCCAGAGGCUUUUAGAACAGGAGGGAUAAGGAGGUGCUCCAGAAGCACGGGACUGUGGACCUUGCAGGAGUGAAGACUGUGAUGUGUGGUCCCCAUAUGUGGCUCAGCGAAGACUCGAGAGAUCAUCCCUUUGUCUGCCUUGACGGCCCUGUGACGGCCUCCAGCCCACAGGCCUGCUUUCUCCUGUCCUAACACCAAGCCUGGGUGGCAGAUGAACAGUGCUUCCUUGGGUUGCCAGCUGAGUCCCGGUAUUAGGGAAUAGUUUCAGCUCUUUCAAAGUGCACAGUGUUACAGUCGAAUGGGCUCCCAUCCUGGAAUAAUAUGGAGAAUCCUUUGUCUUCCACUCACUGUCAUUCACAAGGCACAGUGCCCCAUGAAAUUGCCCCAAUAGAAAACAUGGCAUCCCUGACCUCCAAAUGGUCUGUUUUGGCCUCCAUUCCUAUAUCCUUUAAAUGACUGAGAAUGCAGCUGGUGAAGUUGGAAGAAUAAAGUUAACCAAGCAGGCCAGGCGCGGUGGCUCACGCCUAUAAUCCCAGCACUUAGGGAGGGCAAGGCGGGCAGAUCACCUGAGGUCAAUAGUUCGAGACCAGCCUGGCCAACAAGGUGAAACCCCAUCUCUACUAAAAAUACAAAAAAUUAGCCAGGUGUGGUGGUGCGCACCUGUAGUCCCAGCUAUUUGGGAGGCUGAGGUGGGAGAAUCACUUGAACCUGGGAGGCGGAGGUUGCAGUGAGCUGAAAUCGCGUAUCGCACUCCCGCCUGGGUGACAGAGCGAGACUCUGUUUCAAAGAAAAAAAACAAGCAGCCUUUUGCUUGGUUGGAAUCUGAUUUUCUGUUGCGUGUUCCUUGUAGCCAUAGAUGUGAUUAUGUCCACACCGGGCUGCCUUAAUCUGUCCUGCUUGGAGAGUGACUUGUAAGAUGCUGAAUUAUUCAUGAUAAUAGAGUGAAUGUUCUGGGUCCAUGUACGCAGAUAAACAUGAAGAAAAUAAGCUGAGAAAAAUGGAGACUGGAAAAGCAAAGCUGUUUUCGUCCUAUAAUUGAAGUAGUGUGGAGCAUUAACUUGUGGAUAAUUCAGAGUUAAAAGAUAAAAAGACGCCAGAGUUCUCGCUGAAGAA
rnacentral:sRNA from 1 species